rfam:Nicotiana sylvestris Nsyl_contig251740, whole genome shotgun sequence.
UGGACAGAUUAUUGUAUUCGACUGUAUUCACGGUGUGAAAUAGGGGAUUGCACUGUUUUUAAAAAAGGAAAGUGAAUCAAUUAACAUAAUAGACUCCU